rnacentral:rRNA from 1 species
GAAACGGGGUCUAAUACCGGAUACGAGUCCGGGAGGCAUCUCCCGGGCUGGAAAGCUCCGGCGGUGAAGGAUGAGCCCGCGGCCUAUCAGCUUGUUGGUGGGGUAAUGGCCUACCAAGGCGACGACGGGUAGCCGGCCUGAGAGGGCGACCGGCCACACUGGGACUGAGACACGGCCCAGACUCCUACGGGAGGCAGCAGUGGGGAAUAUUGCACAAUGGGCGAAAGCCUGAUGCAGCGACGCCGCGUGAGGGAUGACGGCCUUCGGGUUGUAAACCUCUUUCAGCAGGGAAGAAGCGCGAGUGACGGUACCUGCAGAAGAAGCGCCGGCUAACUACGUGCCAGCAGCCGCGGUAAUACGUAGGGCGCAAGCGUUGUCCGGAAUUAUUGGGCGUAAAGAGCUCGUAGGCGGCUUGUCACGUCGGGUGUGAAAGCCCGGGGCUUAACCCCGGGUCUGCAUCCGAUACGGGCAGGCU